rnacentral:pre_miRNA from 1 species
AGUGGGAUAACUGGGUCAAAUGGUGGUUUUAUUCCAAGUUUUCUGAUAAAUUGCUAUACUGCUUUCCACAAUGGUUGCACCAAUUUGAAGUCCCACCAGUAAU